rnacentral:lncRNA from 1 species
GACUAUUCCUAAAAGCCAAAUUUAACAACACAUCCAGCCUCAGACUCAGAAAAGAUGGAAGGUCAUAUAUAAAUUUUUUUAAAUGAGUGAAAAAGAGAGAAGAGGUGAAUAAAUGUGAGAACCAGGGAAAGCGAAUAAAAAGGAUACAAGGAAAGAUGAAGGGGAGAAUAAGGAGAAAUGGGACUCACAUACACUGAGGACCAAUAUUUGACCCAUUCACAGAUGCCAUCUCAUUUGUAAAACCAUCUCAUCUGAAAAUUUGGACUGGGUAUCCAAGGCAAGACACCUAACUAGAUGCCACCAGGAAGAACAUCUCCCACAAAAACAGACCAAAAUAUCCAGUAAAUCAGCAUACUCAGAACAGAUCAUCUGAAGGAAUGAACUAAAAGAGAUUAGAAAGACAACCCAGACACCAGGAUGAAAGGGAGAGGAAGCUGGGAAUCCUUCUUGGGGUUGCUGAAUAUGGGACAUGUUCCAGGCCCUGAAUGGCUCUGGAUUUGAUAACCAUCUCAUGUUGAUGGGCCUGACUUCAAGUGGAAGAAAAAAAAAAGAAAAGAAAACCUCCUUCUUUACUGUCAAAAUAACAAAUCAGGUCCCUGGACUUUGGGACUCAUUCUGCUCGACUUGAUCCCUGCUCUGCCCAUUGAUCACAUACACACGUUUACACCUGGCAGAAGAGGAAGAGGAGGCAUGAAGGAAUGGCCUCUUCAGAAUGGAGAAAAGUUAAUUAUCCUGUGGAGUGCUCUGAAGAAUGUGGAGAGAAAGCCUUCCCCAUGAGAACAUGCCUAAGACAGACUGCUGAAGAAGGCGGCAAAUGGAACAGCGCUGAAUCAGCCUGGUCAUCCCAGUCAAGCCUCCAGACAUGUAAGCACCCUCCUCUGAUCUGCAGAGCUGCCUGGCCCAAAUACUGUUGACCACUCUUGAGUAAGCCCCACCAAGAUCAGCUGAGAACAGUAGAACUGACCAGAUGACUCUAACCUCAUGAAUAAAUCCAAGUGUUUUUUUAUUUGCCUCUG